rnacentral:rRNA from 2 species
UCUGGUGUCAGCCGCCGCGGUAAAACCAGCACCUCGAGUGGUCAGGAGGUUUAUUGGGCCUAAAGCAUCCGUAGCCGGUUGUUUAAGUUUUCGGUUAAACCUAUGCGCUUAACGUAUAGGCUGCCGAGAAUACUGGACAGCUAGGGAGUGGGAGAGGUACACGGUACUCAACAGGAAGGGGUAAAAUCCUUUGAUCUGUUGAUGACCACCUGUGGCGAAGGCGGUGUACCAGAACACGUUCGACGGUGAGGGAUGAAAGCUGGGGGAGCAAACCGGAUUAGAUACCCGGGUAGUCCCAGCUGUAAACGAUGCAAACUCGGUGAUGCAUUGGCUUGUGGCCAAUGCAGUGCCGCAGGGAAGCCGUUAAGUUUGCCGCCUGGGAAGUACGUACGCAAGUAUGAAACUUAAAG